UAAGAUUAAGAGAACACAGAAGAGGAAUUUUAUUUCAUUACUACUCCACUGUUUACAGUGUUCUGCAGGGAUGCAGCAAAAUGUGUCUCCUCUGCCUGGUGCUUCAAUCUGGUAUUUUCUGCAUGGCUGUCUGCACAUCAGCCACUGGUAUCCAUCCUGGUACCAUGGCACUGAGCUUUGGCAGCUGGUGUUCUGUGCUAGAACAAGUGUGCAUCCUGCCUAUGAUUUAUCUAUUUCUGGUGUGCUAAAGUUGGACUCCUGA
rnacentral:lncRNA from 1 species